UAAACCUAUUAGAUAUACCUCGCAGGUCCCCACAUGUUUUUUUUCAAUAGGGCAGCAACAAGUCCUUCGGCGUCACUCGCAAAGAGCCAUCCUGGAUCGAGGAAGUGAAUCUUACCACCGAGCUGAUCUAUCAAUUUCAGCUCAACUCUCGCUCCCUCGACAGCGUACUUCAGCGCGACCUCGAGUUCCUCAAAUCCACUAAGCAGCCGAGCCUCGUCAACGACCAGCUCGGCCAGCUGUUUCUCGAUCUCGACAUCGAGGGUUUCGGCUCCAAGCCCAUCCUCGAGGAGAUCGGCACCAAUAAUACACAGGACACGGGCAGCGAUCUGUCACAAUGUCCAAGUCAAAUGGGCGCCUGGUGGUAGUCUUGGGAUCACCGGUACGACCUUGCGUACAAUAACGAAGCACUACACGAAUUUGCCAUGUCCGUGGGCGCAUACAAAGUUUAAUGUGAUGUAAAACAAUAAGAAUUUUCGACAACAAAACAAAAACGCUAAUUUGCCAAUCAACCUUUCAAACGACUGGGAAUAUACCGUAAACAAGCGCUUAUCCUUAACGAAUGAGGGCUUUAACAUUUAAUUUAGCAGAUUAAGGAAUCUUCAGAAUAAUAUAGUGCAGGUGGGCGCAAAGACGCUUAUGUUAACUUUUAAGAUACUUCCAAAGCUGGAAAAUAAGCAUCUAUUCGAGAAAUACUUCUCUUUCGGGAUACUGCCAUAUCAUCAGUGGAAAAUUGAUAUAUACCAAAUGAUGAUUUAACUUUUUUUUGUUACGUUCGAAUUUUAAUCUCAACUCAGUUUACUUCAUUGAUUUACGUAUUAAUAGAGUCUUAUUGCAAUUUUUAAAUUAGAAUUAUGAAUAAGUUAGGGCAUUUUAAGUGAUGGUGUUGAUUACUUUUAUGAUUUGAAUUUUUUUUCUUUGACUAAAAGAUGAUAUUGAUUUUAUUUACUUUGGAGGUGAUUCUGAUAAACGUGAGCUUGCAAGUGCGGUAACUGCUCAUUUAUUUCAUACAUAAAAUAUCUCUCGUUUUGAUGUAUAAAUAUUUUAAACAAUAAUUGAUAAUUGAUAUUAGUCCAAAAAAAGUUAUUGAUUUAAAAAAAAAAAAAAAAAAAUAAACAAAAAUUGUAUUUGUACGAGAGUAUUUGAACACUGAAUUUAUCCCACCGUAUGUCGUCCCAGUGUAUCAAGAGAGGCUUCGGUUGUGAUUUUAAAUGAGUAAAACAUGAGCAUUCUUGAACGAUUAAAGUUACUUUUUGAAUGUAAAAUUAUUCAUGAAAGUUUUUUAACGCCAUACACACGUCAUUAGUCAAUUUUUUUUUAUAGGUGUAUUCUUUUCUUCUAUUUUUUCUUACUUAUAUUUUUGAGAAGUUAAUUUUUGAUGAAUAUUUCUUUUUUAUACUCCCAUACAAAAAUAAGUUUUGUGAAACUCAACAUAUUCAUAAUAUAAAUAAAAAAAGAUCGUUGCUUACCACGCUUAACAUGAAUAAGUAUUUCAGAAGUAUUUUCAAUAUAAUUCAUAUGCUUAUGACUGUAAAGCGAAUACGAACACGAAAUGAGGAUGGAUCGAAUACAGGUUAAUAUCUUAAAAAAUAAGUGAAUUCACAGACCAAUAAAAAAAGUACACAUUACCUUCUGCACUUUAUAAGCAUUUUAUAUUUAUAAAAAAAUAAUCGUGACUUAUUUACAUCGUGCAUAUAGUAUUUAAAUAUGUAAGCUACUUGACUUUAAAACCAUUACAGUGUCUUUUUCAACGUCAAGUUGUUACUCAUAAAGCUAAUAAUAUUUUUGUAUAAAAAAUUAUUUAUGUUAAUUAAGCUUAGCAAAACAUUGUUGUUUGAAUUAAGUAAAUAAUAAUAAAGUAUGUAAUAAAAGAAUAA